UAAUAAUAAUUAUUUUUUUAUUUAGUAAUUAAUAUUAAAUUAUAUAAGAAAUUAUUAUUUAGUAAUAUAAUAAUUAUUAACAAAUUUUGUGCCAGCAGUUGCGGUUAUACAAAAAAUAAAAUAAAUUUUAUUAGUAAUUAAUAAAUAAAUAAAAUUUUUAAAUUAAAUAUUAAAUUUUUAGGUGAAAUUUUAAUUUAGUUAAAAUUUAAAAUAAAUUAUGAUUUAAUAAAUUCAAAUUUUAAACUAGGAUUAGAUACCCUAUUAUUAUGAAAUUAAAUUUUUAUACUAAAAUAGUAUGUAAUUAUUUAUUGAAACUUAAAUAAUUUGGCGGUAUUUUAUUUAAUUUAGAGGAAUCUGUUAAAUAAUUGAUAAUCCACGAAUAAAUUUACUUAAUUUAAAAGUUUAUAUAUCGUUGUUAAAAAAAUAUUUUUUAUAAAAAGUAAUAUUUUAAAAUUAAUAAAAUAAAUUAAAUCAAAUCAAGAUGUAUCUUAUAAUUAAGAAUUAAUGGAUUACAAUAAAUUUAUUUAAAUGAAUAUAAAAUUUUAAAAUUUUAUUGAAAGUGGAUUUAAAUGUAAUUUUAUUUAAUUUAAUAAAAUGAUUUUAAAUUAAAAUAUGUACAUAUUGCCCGUCACUUUCAUUUAUAAAUUGAAAUAAGUCGUAACAAAGUAGAGGUAUUGGAAAGUGUUUCUAGAAAGAU
rnacentral:ncRNA from 1 species